AUACGUAGGGGGCGAGCGUUGUCCGGAAUUACUGGGCGUAAAGGGCAUGUAGGCGGUCUUGUAAGCGGGUUGUGAAAGCGACUGGCUCAACCGGUCGAGGCCGACCCAGACUGGGAAGCUAGAGGGCGGUAGAGGGGUGUGGAAUUCCGGGUGUAGUGGUGAAAUGCGUAGAGAUCCGGAGGAACACCAGAGGCGAAGGCGACACUCUAGGCCGCACCUGACGCUGAGACGCGACAGCGACGGGGAGC
rnacentral:rRNA from 1 species